GCACCGGUGGCUCAGUGGUAGAGCGUCGCACUCGUAUUUGGCAAUGCGAAGGUCGUGGGUUCAAUCCCCAUCCGGUGCA
rnacentral:tRNA from 2 species